rnacentral:lncRNA from 1 species
UCCGCCUCCACCUCCACCUCCACCAGCGGUGGAAACGCUUUGGCUCAGCUGGUACUCCCCAUAAUAAAAGCAACCGGGCGUGUGCCGAGGAGCCUCUACUGAUUUGGCCACGCGCGGCUCCAAUCUGCUGGUAAAUCCAAGUGCUGUUCCCCCCCUGCUCUAAAUUUCACGUCUGGACCAAGAUUUGUUACGUCGGCCUCUUCUUGUAUCCAAGUUCUGGCCAGUUCAUCUGAUUCUUGGAACAAAAUGCCCUGUUGUGGCUUCGAGAUCUGAUGUGCUUCAUCCCAGAUCACAAUCUGCAAGAUCAGUUAGCUACUUUGGAGUAUGGGGUUCAACCACAGCCCUGCUUGUUAGUUGCAGGCAUAUUGCAUUAUUCUGUGAAAUCCGUGCUAACAUUGUCUCGAAUUUCAACUAAAAUGUACUCCGUACAUCUUAGGACGAAUGUACAUGAAUAUCGAACAAUGCAAGAGUAAUGCUUGCUAGCUUAUAGUCCAAGAAUUUUCUAUGGCCUUUCUUCCACUGAGUUGCAAGUAUUUUUGUUAGCUUUACCAACUAUAGCAAUUAGUUCCCCGGACAACAAAUAUAACAAUUGAUCACCUAUAUAUUUGUAUUAUUCCUUUCUCAGUAUAUUGGAUCUACUUUCUUUUUCCAAUAAAGAUACUGAAUCUACUUACGUGCUCUAUCUUUCAAAAACUUUGGAGUUUUUGAUACGCCCUUCUUUUUCGUGCUUAUAUUUUUAGUGGGAUAUUUAUUGAAUCUACUGCUGCCAUUGCUGUUGAUGUUGCUAGUAAAAUUGCCACAGUUGCUCAUUGUGUGAAUUUAGAUGAUUGAGGAUGCUCAAUUACCCAUUUGACAGGUACAUGGUGCUGCGAAAAGUCUACGUAAAUCCCGAUGGCUGGCAUGGAACAGAGUUUUCUUGCCUCCGCCCCCGAUCUUUCUCACCAUAUGGUACCCAACUCUAUAGGUGUAGUUUCACUUCGAAUUAUAUAUUAUGCUUCCGUUCAAAUGUUGAAUCCAGUACUUGCUCAUUUGCCUACUAAACUGA